AGCAUCCGUAGCCGGCUGUUCAAGUUUCCGGUUAAAUCCACACGCUUAACGUAUGGGCUGCCGGAAAUACUGUUCAGCUAGGGAGUGGGAGAGGUGGACGGUACUCGGUAGGAAGGGGUAAAAUCCUUUGAUUUAUUGAUGACCACCUGUGGCGAAGGCGGUGUACCAGGACACGUUCGACGGUGAGGGAUGAAAGCUGGGGGAGCAAACCGGAUUAGAUACCCGGGUAGUCCCAGCUGUAAACGAUGCAGACUCGGUGAUGCAUUGGCUUGUGGCCAAUGCAGUGCCGCAGGGAAGCCGUUAAGUCUGCCGCCUGGGAAGUACGUACGCAAGUAUGAAACUUAAAGGAAUUGGCGGGGGAGCACAAGCCGA
rnacentral:rRNA from 2 species